rnacentral:lncRNA from 1 species
GCUCCAGCCAAAAUAGCUUCACUUUAUGAAGCAACGCUCAAAUGGUUUUUUAAACUGUUUGGCAAAAUAGUUUCCUAUUAUCAGUUCAAAAGAUUAUAUCAUUUUUUCUUUUCUUUUCUUUCUACCCUAACCGUUCACCCGUCAUCAACCAAGACGACACCAACAAUACCUUCUCCAAUUAUUUUGGAGAAAUUAGUGGGCGGAGGCUACUUAAUACUAACCUUUUUUAUUAAUAAUGGGCUUAUUAGCUAACAUGUUUGAUCCACUACUGCUAAUUUUAACUGCUGAAAUUAGUAAUAAUGGACAAAUGAAACCUGU